GCGGUGAAGCAGACCGAUUUAAGGAACAAUAAUUUAUGCAGGUUCUUAAAGAAAAGAACACUAUGCUGGCCCAGGAGCUGAGCACAAACCGGACGCAGCUGCGGUCACCGCCGGGUGAGCUAACUCCAAAAACCCGUCCUCAGUUCGGAUUGCAGGCUGCAACUCGCCUGCAUGAAGCAGGAAUCGCUAGUAAUCGCCGGUCAGCCAUACGGCGGU
rnacentral:rRNA from 1 species